UCACUAUGAGUGAGUGAGGACUCUGUCAGUCAAGGUGAACCGUGGAUGUUGUGACCAAGCCGUCCAGAUACCUGAGCAGUACGAGAGAGCAAGUUCUCUCUCUCCACGCGUCCGAUAAACCUCAAGGAAUGGCAGAGGCCGAUACAGUUUGUUGCCAAGCAGCGUCCCAGGAGUUGCCAGUCAGCGUUGAACUCCAAGUAGAACUGCUUUGGGGGCUCCAGCUCCCGAUUUUUCCCUCGGGGUUUACUCCCGAAGCCUUCCCCACGAGUGGGUAUCACCGCAAGACAGUGGAAGUCUCCUUCUCCUCGGAGCCCAAACCGGCAGCUCACACUGAGAACAGAGAAAGCGUGAACCAGGGCAUUACAUACGUUUCGCCAUGUGGACAAGUGAAGGUGCCGCCAGAACAGAAAGCGCAAGGAGAUGAUCUUGUUGCGUUACUGAGAACCACUGCACUGUUUUGAUGAUCACUGUGCACCAGUGUUGCUUUGCUGCCUGCAAACUUCAUCAGACCCGUGUGCCAGAACGCACCAUUAGUGCAUCCCUGCACCCACUGUGCCCUGCUGGCCUGCUAUUCCCUGCUUGUACUUCAUUAGUGUGAACCCUACAGUUAUUUGUGCAAAUACAUUCUCAAUAAAGAGGCACAGGAAACACCUGGAAUCUGGAGCCAGAAAUUAUUGGAGGAACUCAGCAGUCAUUCAGCAUCUGUAGAGGCAGAGGAUUUCUGUUCCUGUUUACACAUCGUUAGACCACCUCUGCUGGGCGAUCCAUCCAUUCCUGAGAAUCAGAGACAGGCCUUUUGAUAUCGAUGUUAUCUACAAUCCUGAAGAUGUACCGGGCAGCGUUGAGGAAGGUGCUCCAUUAUUGAGGUGGGCCACUGAAGAAAUGCUGCUCUGUUGAAGGGCCUGUGAUAAAGGCGCUGUGGGGCCGCAGUGAGAGACUGCUGGGCUAUUGAAGGGACGGAACUAAGUUCGUGCUGCACACUGAACUACAGGCUCACUGCAGUAAUUGCAGAGUCAAUACGGAGAGUGUGGAUCCUCUAUACUGUCAGGGAGUCAAUACUGAGGGAGCAGUGCAUUGAAGGAAAGGGCAGUACUGCACUGUAUGCAGGGCAUUAGCCAGAGAGCUGCACACUACACUGUCUGUUGGUUAUUGGCGAGUGCACUGUUAGAAGUGCAGAGUUAAUGGACCACUCCGAGGAUUGUCAGCUUCUCGUGUUGGAGGGGCUUGUGAGCGAUGGCGUCCAGCCUUUAGCCAUCCGGCCUUUAGCUCCUGAUGGGGCCACCCAUGGCGGUAAGGUCAAGGAAGAGGUUCCAGGCGAGGAGAGGUCCAAUCCAGAUCUCAAUGGAGAUAGCAACAGAUGAUGCCAGAUCACAACGACAUUGAGGGUGGAGGGAGGCUGCAGCAGAGAAGGGUCCCUAGUCACUUUACUACCACUGGACCUAGAUUGCGGAGAAUGCCAGUGCAUCAGCCUCCCCAUGUUACACAAAGCCACGCACAGACCUUCGGAGAACAUCACACUCGACUCAAGUGAUCACACAACUACUACCAGUUAACUAAGAGGCUAAUGACUCAUCUGCCCUCUCCGUGCACAAUAAGGACCAAUAUUACAAGGAAGGGCAAGGAACAUCUCCCUGUAUCCUGGAGCCGAUAUUCAUCCCACAAGUGGCUCACUAAAACAAGGUUAUUUCAUCAGAGAGCUUGUUGUGUGUAAAGUGGCUACUGUCUUUUCUCUAUCCUAAAUUAACUGUACUUCAACGGCACCCCAUUGGCUAUAGUUAUUUUUGGAGCAUCCUGAUGAGAAAAGGUAAAUGACUGUGGUUAUGGAUUUCAUAGAGUGAUAGAGCAUGGAACAGGCCCUUCGGCCCAUCUGGUCUAUGCCAACCAACAUGCCAGUGUUUGGUAAAUACCCUUCUAAGCCUUUCCUAUCCAUGUACACGUCCAAAUGAAUUUUUAAAGUUCUUAUUGCACCUGCCUCAACGUCUUCCUCUGGCAGCUCAAAGUUCAAAGCACAUUUAUUAAAAAGUAUGUAUACGUUAUACAAUCUUGAUAUUCGUCUCCUUGCAGGCAGCCACAAAACAAAGUAACCCCAAAAGAAACUAUUUGUAAAAAAACCCGUCAAACACCUCAUGUGCAGAGGGAAAAAAAUCACGCAAGCAAUAAAAGUAAGCAAAUAGCGUUCAGAACUGAAGUUUUAUGAAAGACGGAAUGCCAAGAAUCACUGAAGCAGGCCACAGCCUCAGUUCAUCGCAGAGUCGAGUAAACGUCACGGGGCCACAGAUGCAAAGCCAGGCAUCAUUGCAAUGGCAGCCGGCCGCAGCCUCAGUGAAGUGCAGAGCUGAGCAAGUGUCCAUCCCUCACCUCUGGUCCCACCACCAUGACCUUUUCAAUCUGGCCUGGCACUUUAGUCGCCCAAGCAUCUGGCCAUUCCUCACUCGCGGACUGCUCCAGUGCUUGAUUCCCAUCGCCACAAUUCAGCUAGUAUCCAACCAUUCCAACUAAGCCCAGAUAUUCCUCGUUCCAACCUCUGCCACGCCUUACCUUCACCUCCGCUCACCUAGCCUUGCCUCCGACGGUGAUCGUUAUUAGUAAAGUGCUACUAAUUCACUCAUUCCACACACAUUGCACAUUUUAUUUAAUAAGGUUGUCCCUGAGGUUCCCAUUUUAUCUCUUCCCCUCUCACCUUACACCAGAAUCUUCUUGUCCUUGAUUCCCCAACCCAGGAAUAAGGACUGGGUGAAUUCACCCUGGCAGGAUUUUAGCCGUGUGGAGGAACGGAGGGAUCUUGGGUCCCCAUGUUCACAGACCCCUCAAAGUUGCCGUGCAUGUUGUUAGGGUUGUUAUGAAGGCAUGUGAUAUGUCACCUUUCAUUUGUCAGGGGAUUGAGUUCAAGAGCCAUGAGAUAGUGUUGCAGCUCUAUAAAUUUUAGACCAACACACCACAGUGAAUUUCUAUUGCAUGUAAACACAUAGGAUAAAUAAAGCUGAUCCUUGAAUAUUGUGCUCAGUUCUGGUCGCCUCAUUAUAGGAAGCAUGUGGAAGCUUUAGAGAUC